CAAGUUAAAUCUUAGGGAUCUACGUUAUUUACAUUAACGUUGUGGUUUGUGCGAUUCGACCUAACUUGA
rnacentral:tRNA from 1 species